GUGACAGGUAGUUAAUCUGUCAGGGGAAAGGAGGAAAUCUGAAUCCCAUAUAGUUACUAGAACUUCGUAGCAGACUAUAGAGACAAGAAUCAAAGUGACAAAUCCCUCAACAGCAGAUUCAACUGCAGACUUUAAAAUCACAAAUGCGGCGAUUUGUGAACACAAAUUUUGUCUGAAUUCAAUCAAACAACAACCUCCCACUGUUACAGUGGUUUCCUGUGACAGGUAGCUAAUCUGUCAGGGGAAAGGAGGAAAUCUGAAUCCCAUAUAGUUACUAGAACCUCGUAGCAGACUACAGAGACUUCAGGGGCUUGAAACCACAGCUCGGAGCAUCGCGAACACUGGGUUCAGCCAAAGGCCUUAAAUACAAGCGUAAGGCGACGCCACAAUCGUGCACAUAAAUAUUGGACAGUCUAGACAGAGCAGAGGAGUCAGUCUCACUGCUACUCAGAACAACAUUUCACGCUGUCCAGCUCAAACACAGACUACAGGCAUGUAGUACAAGAGUGUGUGAAACACAGAGCAUAAAGGUUUUAUGCAUAGAUCAUGAAAACAUCAGAACUUAGUCAAGCAACUUCAGCAAGCAUAGCAUUGAUUGUGAUUAAGUCUAAAAUAGCCUGGAAAUAAGUUUCUCGCAUCAAUUUGGAAGGCUAAGUUUUAGGUUGUCUGUUAGUAUCCAGAAGUUUUGUUUGAAACGCCUCACGCAGGGGCACCAAAAUAUAUGUAGUGAUUUGAAAUGAGCCUCAUACGGUCGCACCAAAAUAUAUGUAGCGAUUUGAAAUGAGCCUCACAAGGCCGCACCAAAAUAAUACUUGGCGAUUGGAAUUUAUAAUAAAUGUCUGAAGAUUAAUAAUCUCAAAUUAUGACAUUUAUGCACUCGUUGAAAGGGGCACCACCCACCCUUAAUGGUGGGAAAAUAAAGAAAACAAAAGUUUAAUUCAGAAAUCAAACAUCAAGUCAGUUUUAAUUAAUCAGUCUUAAUUAAUCAGUCUUAAUUAAUCAGUCUCAUAUCUUAAGUUGAAAUUCUAAUUUCAGGGACUCCACUUCUGGAAGAACACUAACAGACAGGAACUUAGAAAAAUAAUGAUCUGUUUAUUACAGGAUAAAUGAUGGUACAACACACAUGCAAUAAAUGAUGAUAAGAUAAUGAAGAUAAAUAAUAAUAGGUGAAUAAAUCAAGAUUCUGAGUCAGGCUAGGAGCACUAAAGUUAAUGAUAGUGAGUGAAUAUGCGCUAACAUAUUAACCUACACUAACUUUAGUGUCGAGAUAAACUCGGAUGUGGAUUUGGAGGAAUCUAAGAUUACCAGAAUAAGAGGAUAUCUGAGUUGAACGCAGGAGACAGCACCAGCCCUCUUUAGAGCUCUGGAGGUUUGCAUACUUAAGUGAGACUGGUCCUUGGAGAAGAUGGAGCAGGUUCCGAAGGUCCGGGCUACUGGCGGUUCGAGCGGUUCAGCUCAGAAGACGACUGAAGUCAGCCGAAGGAUGAGCCCGGAGUUGCAGCACUCAGGCCCGAAGCAAAAACCAGCGCCUGUGGAUCCUGUGGAUGCUCGUUUGGGUACUUCUUUAGUCUCACUCAAAAACUCUGGCACAGAGGAUGACCUGGGCCUGUUGGAUUGCGUUCGGAGGUGACUUUGAAAUCACGCAGAAAACUCAGAAAAACGAGGCUCGAAGAGCAGAGAAAACUUUCAAAAAUGGCUUCGCGAAAUUAAAGAAAAUCAAUCAAAGGCUUAAUCUUGAAUUGCUAUGUGCACAAAAAGUUGAAGUUUCAAAACUUGAACUAAGACGAUGUUAAAGAAAAAUCAACGUGAAUCAACACGUGGCGUAAAACUUAGAAGACUAAGAAAAAGUUCUAAGAGAGAACAAAGAAAAGGAGGACCACAGAAGGGUGUGGACAGAAGAGAAGGGCCCAAGAGUAAGGGGCCUAAGAGCCGGGGACAAGAGAGUCAGCAGAAGAGCAGAAGCAUAAGAGAGAUAAAAGCAUAAGAGAGAGUAAGAGAGUGAGCAACCCCACUCCACUGGUUUUAUCUUCUCACACUGGGAGUGUCUGAGGAGAAAGAGGAGGGGUCAUCGGGUCUCUGAUUAUUUGAUCUAACUUAUUCUUUUGGCUGGUAAAAGAGUCAGAUCUGAUACUCACUCACUAUGAUUAAUAUCAUUGAAUGCUUGGUUUCAUGAUAAAUAAUUUGAUACUAAACACAUAUGAAUGAAGUGUAGGAUCACAUCAAACAUUCUCAUUAUGUUUUAAGUAUCACAUUGAACAUGCUAAAUUACUCUGAAAUGAAACAGAUAGUAACACAUAGAAACUGUGAACAACAAAAGAGUAAACACAUGUGAAUGAACGUCAUCAUGAUUAAUAAUGGAUUCUAAAUACUCACAUUCAGAUUAUUCAGUGACAUUAUAACCACCUAAUGGUUAAGAUACUAAAUAAACGAUUAAAAUAUAGAACAAACAUUUCUAAACCAUUUCUGUUAAUUAGAGCUAAGUUAUGAGUCACAAUCAAUAAAUUUAACUCUUAAAAGUUCAUGAAACAGUCUGAAAAGCUGUUGGUCUAAAGAACUAAAGAAUAAGGAUUUAUUCUGUCAGAUAAGAUAACUUGGCUUCUGAAGCACAUAGAAAAACGGGAAACAUCUCAUUUUAACACAAAUUUCAUGAUUAGACAGAUUAGUACAUUGCUGAAUGUAUAAGAUGUCAGGAUCAGUCAUUUGUAUUCUUUCACCAAAGGAAUGUAGUCUUUAUCAGUGUAUGGUCGAGCAGGGUUUUACGACCGAGGUCUGGAGGUCAGUGUCCCCCCUUUUCCUAGGGUCCGUAUGUUCACACACUUUAAGACGCUAAAUCUCAAAUGGGAGAUCUGGGUUGAGGUUAAUGUUUAUUUAGAUGGUCAGCAAAUGGAGUCAGUUUGAAAGGUAAUAAAAACUCUGUCUCUGUUCUCCGAAUUGACCAAUCGUGAAGAGUCGGAGGUUUAGUCAACCUCCGGUUGGGUCACUUAUUUAACCUGAAAGGGCAAACACGUCUGGAAAGAUUUAUAUCCUGUUUCCUGGGACCAGAUAAGGAAACUUUCCUGUAAGGAAUGUGUGGGUUUCACAUCCAGGGUUGUCUUGAUUGCUACAGUCCCCCCUUCGUCACGGUGGUCCUGUCCAUGGAGCAUCGGGACGACGAGUAGACAACCAUGAAGCAGCAGCAGGUGUAUGCAAAUAGGACUGAUGCGUCUCAGCAUCACUAUGUGAAUCACUAGUACUGCUUUGAGAUAAAAUUAAGCAUGUAUUAAGCUAUCAAAUAAAAUCGUCUAGUUGUUAGACUUUCUCAGUUAACUAUUGGUAGACUAAUGUGAAAGAAAAUCUCCUAAUUUUUAGUAUUAAUGAGAUUUAGAAAAGCACUCUUUAGUCUGAAUGCUAACCGGAUCUAAAGCUAUAGCUGUUUUUCAUGCUUGCUGGAGAAGUCUGAAAGUUCAAUUUCAGUUUCAAAAAUGGUUAAGACUUAGGUGGAAAAGAAAUGUCUGCUAUAGACAUAUUAACCAUCUGUGUAUGAGCAUAGUCAACCUGAAUCACAAACAUCAAAAGUUUACUGCACAGAGUUUCUCUUAAACUUUGUCUGUUAAACUUGGGGAUGAUGCUCUUAUCGGUUUGACUAAUUAUCUGCUGUUGAGUCUGAAAUUUGUCAAUCUGAGUCUUAAUGACAGAAAUUUCAGCUUUUAAUCUGUUCAUGGGAUAUUUGACAGCUGACAAGCUGACCAUAUUGACAGAGGAGAGACAAAUGCUAACAAAGAAAGCAGCAACUGGGAUUGCAGUCAUCAAUGUAUCACCACAGCAUUUGGAUAUCUUAUUGGAGUCAUUCAGCUUUGGCUGGGUGACUUCUGCUUUCGCAGGACUCACACCUUCAUGACUCCGCAGUGUUAAUCUCAGUGGUUAGCUGAGUUGUCAUGUUUAUUCACCUUCGAAGUGGAUGAAACCGAUUGAGGUGGAUAAUAAGAUCGUCGUUUCUGAGAGUGUGAUUUACUCUGAUUCUGCCAGUCAUUCACCCCCCUUUGGCGGUGUUGAUGGUUUUUCCUUUGUCUGGGAUAAAACCCACCGUGACGGGAGUCUGAAUAACAACAGUUGGUCUCAAAGUUUACCUGGCGUUGGUCUGUGUCAGAACUGGGCCUUGGUGUGUAACUUUGACCUUUGUGAGUUUGUUGAGGUCGAAAAGGUUUUGGGGGCCUGGUUAACCACUCAUUUGGAGGCUUAUCGGAGCCUGAAAAUACACAGUCUGAAGCUUCAUUCAGCUCCAUGGGCAGUGAUUUUGUCCCCAUAGCCAAGAGAGUAACGGGCUCUGCUUUCUUAGCCAAAGUUUGUCGUUGUUUGGCAAAACCUUUUACAGCAAAUUCACGAAGCUGUCGGCUAGUCAAAGUGUUUGGACAAGCUAAGACGCCAAGGUGAUGACUGGUGGUAGGGUGGAGGUUCUGGACGAACAGCGUUUUGAAGUUCAAGUCCUCCUCCAUUUCUGGUUCAUUUCGGAAACCAAAGUAAGCUUCGCGUAAGCGGUUGUAAUAUUGUUGGGGAGAUUCUGAUCUCCCUUGUUUAAUAGACAGAGCAGCAGAGAGGCCUGUCUGGGUCAAAUAGUCAGAAAACUCUUCAAUUAAUGCUUGGCAGAGCAAGUCAUAAUUAUUUCUGACAUGAAAAGGCUGUCUUUCAAGGAAACUGCUAACCUCUCGACUUGACGUCGCCUUAAUAAGGUAGAUUUUGUCAUCAAUGGUUGCACCUAGAAAUUUCCUCAGGUAAAAGUCAAUGUCUUUCAAGUAGGUGCAGGUGUCAAUAGCAGCUUGGUGCUCAGGUUCAAAGCGUGCUAUGUUGCGAGCAAUUUUGUCAAGAUCCCUGUCUGAGGGAGAUGGUAAGAAGCCAUCAUGAGGAGGAGAGUAGGACUCUUGGUUUAAGGAUGACCUCUCAGGGUCAAGCAGGGUCCUGUCAUGAUGCUGAGAGAGAUACUUAAGAGUUGGUUUGGAAGGAAGUGAUGGCGCUCUCUCAGGAGGCUGAUCACCUGUCAUUUCUUCAAGAAACGUUUGCUCCAUGCGUUCUCUUUGGGCUCGACCUGACUGGAGGGAGCAUUGUAACUCUCUUUGGGCAUCUUCAAGUUCUUUGUCUGUCUUUUCUUGCCGUUCUUGACAAAGAAUUAACUGUCUUUGAGCUAUCUGGAGCUGGUGCUGUAAGGUAGAAGUUUGCUUCUCCUUAACUUCAAGAGCUUCAGCACGCACUUUGACCAGUGCUUUCAAAGUUUUUACAUCUUCUGUUGCUUGCUCUAGUAGGGAUUCUGACUGUAUCAGAUCCUCUGUGGUCUUAGCAAGCUGCUUAUUCGUGUCAUCAAGUUCUUUCUCCUUUUUGUAAAGGGUUUCAUUAAGUCUUUCAAUCUUGUCUUUAAGAUCAAGAUUUUCUUCAUGACUUAUCAGUGAGGGAAGCUUUGACGCUUCACAUCUGACACUGUGUUUUCCUAAAACACUUAGAGACUUCUUAGUCUCUUCUAGCGUCUUUUUCAGAGCGCUGUUUUCGUCUUUUGCGCCUUUAUCUUUGCUAAAGCGCAUUCCAGCAAGUAGUCUUUAUACUCAAGCUGAGAAGACAUCAUGACAGACAUGCAUCUAGUGAGCUCUUUGUCUCGAAGUGUCGUGGUUAAGGCUGUUUCCAGUAAGUCAGCCAUUUCAUCCUCCGGAUUGGAGGGUUUGGCCUUUUGAAUCUUAGUCAUGUACUGAGGUAUCAGCUGACUAGUCAAGUUUGCCAACACUGUGGGUAUGUCCCUCAGGGGGUCUCCCUGGCUGGACUCUUUUGUGUUAGGCAUGUUUGGUUUUGGUAAAGAGGUGCAGCUGGUUGGUUGAUGAGUUUGAGUUGACUUAAAAUAAAAGGAAGAAGCAAAAUAUCAAAUUAAGUGGGUUAAUCGACUUAAUUUAUCAGUGCUUGAUAAAGAGGAAGAGCCUAUCUGAGUAGAUAUCUAAUGGAGAGAAAAAUAACAUAAAGUUAAAUUCAUUUCAAUGAAAAUUGUAAACAAAAGGUGAAAUAAUGUUAAAUUAAAUUUAACAUCAGAUACAGAACCAUUGAAUAAAGGGUUCAGUUUGUCUCCGUGUUGCAGAGAUCAGCAAAGCUUAAAUAAACUGCCUGGUGCAGUUGGAUGAAUUGGCAAAAUCGAUGAAAUUGUCAAUUUAAGGAAUUAACUCUGAAGUUAAUUCACAAAUUGCAAUAAAUCCAAAGGUUCGAAUACCAAAUCUAUCUGGAAUGUUAAAAGAAAUUUGAAAUAUUAAUUAAUUUGUUCGUUAAUUAAUUAAUCUUAUGAGUCGGGUUAAUACAUUCAUGUAUUAUAGGGAACAGUAAAACUGCUCACUGGUGUGAUAAGUAACAACAGAUCAGGUGAUUGAUUCAAGGAGUUACUUCAUCAAUACAUCAAAAUCAAUGAUCAGUGAUUUAGAAUAAGCACAUCAAACUUCAUCAACCAAGUCAAUCACUUGAGUUAUGUCUGUAGAGUGUUACACACUGACUACAGGGAGGCAGUACAGCUGGCUGAUACUGCAGGCAGAUAAUAGCAGUGUUAGCUCAAUACCAAAAACAACCAUGUGGGGCAGUAUGGAGUUGGGGUAACUGCACAAGCUCAACACAAGUGGAGAAGAAGAAGAGAAGAGGAAACAGUCAUCCAACUAGCCUCUUGUGGCUGUGAGGAGUUGGGAAGUCUGAAGGAAGGGGCCUUUAGACUCUGCCUCCUUGAAGGGCCUUAUCUGCUUAAGGCCAAAAGGUCAGUCUCUCCACUGACAACAAAGGGUUAACAUUUCACAGCAGGCUGCGUCUGCACCCUCAAACAUAGAGCUUUACACCAUCUGCUCAGGCAGAUUGGUUCAAUAAAAUCAUUUACAGGAACAAGAAUCAAAGUGACAAAUUCUUAAACAGCAGAUUCAACUGCAGACUUUAAAAUCACAAAUGCGGCGAUUUGUGAUCACAAAUUUUGUCUGAAUUCAUUCAAACAACAACCUCCCACUGUUACAGUGGUUUCCUGUGACAGGUAGUUAAUCUGUCAGGGGAAAGGAGGAAAUCUGAAUCCCAUAUAGUUACUAGAACUUCGUAGCAGACUAUAGAGACAAGAAUCAAAGUGACAAAUCCCUCAACAGCAGAUUCAACUGCAGACUUUAAAAUCACAAAUGCGGCGAUUUGUGAACACAAAUUUUGUCUGAAUUCAAUCAAACAACAACCUCCCACUGUUACAGUGGUUUCCUGUGACAGGUAGCUAAUCUGUCAGGGGAAAGGAGGAAAUCUGAAUCCCAUAUAGUUACUAGAACCUCGUAGCAGACUACAGAGACUUCAGGGGCUUGAAACCACAGCUCGGAGCAUCGCGAACACUGGGUUCAGCCAAAGGCCUUAAAUACAAGCGUACGGCGACGCCACAAUCGUGCACAUAAAUAUUGGACAGUCUAGACAGAGCAGAGGAGUCAGUCUCACUGCUACUCAGAACAACAUUUCACGCUGUCCAGCUCAAACACAGACUACAGGCAUGUAGUACAAGAGUGUGUGAAACACAGAGCAUAAAGGUUUUAUGCAUAGAUCAUGAAAACAUCAGAACUUAGUCAAGCAACUUCAGCAAGCAUAGCAUUGAUUGUGAUUAAGUCUAAAAUAGCCUGGAAAUAAGUUUCUCGCAUCAAUUUGGAAGGCUAAGUUUUAGGUUGUCUGUUAGUAUCCAGAAGUUUUGUUUGAAACGCCUCACGCAGGGGCACCAAAAUAUAUGUAGUGAUUUGAAAUGAGCCUCAUACGGUCGCACCAAAAUAUAUGUAGCGAUUUGAAAUGAGCCUCACAAGGCCGCACCAAAAUAAUACUUGGCGAUUGGAAUUUAUAAUAAAUGUCUGAAGAUUAAUAAUCUCAAAUUAUGACAUUUAUGCACUCGUUGAAAGGGGCACCACCCACCCUUAAUGGUGGGAAAAUAAAGAAAACAAAAGUUUAAUUCAGAAAUCAAACAUCAAGUCAGUUUUAAUUAAUCAGUCUUAAUUAAUCAGUCUUAAUUAAUCAGUCUCAUAUCUUAAGUUGAAAUUCUAAUUUCAGGGACUCCACUUCUGGAAGAACACUAACAGACAGGAACUUAGAAAAAUAAUGAUCUGUUUAUUACAGGAUAAAUGAUGGUACAACACACAUGCAAUAAAUGAUGAUAAGAUAAUGAAGAUAAAUAAUAAUAGGUGAAUAAAUCAAGAUUCUGAGUCAGGCUAGGAGCACUAAAGUUAAUGAUAGUGAGUGAAUAUGCGCUAACAUAUUAACCUACACUAACUUUAGUGUCGAGAUAAACUCGGAUGUGGAUUUGGAGGAAUCUAAGAUUACCAGAAUAAGAGGAUAUCUGAGUUGAACGCAGGAGACAGCACCAGCCCUCUUUAGAGCUCUGGAGGUUUGCAUACUUAAGUGAGACUGGUCCUUGGAGAAGAUGGAGCAGGUUCCGAAGGUCCGGGCUACUGGCGGUUCGAGCGGUUCAGCUCAGAAGACGACUGAAGUCAGCCGAAGGAUGAGCCCGGAGUUGCAGCACUCAGGCCCGAAGCAAAAACCAGCGCCUGUGGAUCCUGUGGAUGCUCGUUUGGGUACUUCUUUAGUCUCACUCAAAAACUCUGGCACAGAGGAUGACCUGGGCCUGUUGGAUUGCGUUCGGAGGUGACUUUGAAAUCACGCAGAAAACUCAGAAAAACGAGGCUCGAAGAGCAGAGAAAACUUUCAAAAAUGGCUUCGCGAAAUUAAAGAAAAUCAAUCAAAGGCUUAAUCUUGAAUUGCUAUGUGCACAAAAAGUUGAAGUUUCAAAACUUGAACUAAGACGAUGUUAAAGAAAAAUCAACGUGAAUCAACACGUGGCGUAAAACUUAGAAGACUAAGAAAAAGUUCUAAGAGAGAACAAAGAAAAGGAGGACCACAGAAGGGUGUGGACAGAAGAGAAGGGCCCAAGAGUAAGGGGCCUAAGAGCCGGGGACAAGAGAGUCAGCAGAAGAGCAGAAGCAUAAGAGAGAUAAAAGCAUAAGAGAGAGUAAGAGAGUGAGCAACCCCACUCCACUGGUUUUAUCUUCUCACACUGGGAGUGUCUGAGGAGAAAGAGGAGGGGUCAUCGGGUCUCUGAUUAUUUGAUCUAACUUAUUCUUUUGGCUGGUAAAAGAGUCAGAUCUGAUACUCACUCACUAUGAUUAAUAUCAUUGAAUGCUUGGUUUCAUGAUAAAUAAUUUGAUACUAAACACAUAUGAAUGAAGUGUAGGAUCACAUCAAACAUUCUCAUUAUGUUUUAAGUAUCACAUUGAACAUGCUAAAUUACUCUGAAAUGAAACAGAUAGUAACACAUAGAAACUGUGAACAACAAAAGAGUAAACACAUGUGAAUGAACGUCAUCAUGAUUAAUAAUGGAUUCUAAAUACUCACAUUCAGAUUAUUCAGUGACAUUAUAACCACCUAAUGGUUAAGAUACUAAAUAAACGAUUAAAAUAUAGAACAAACAUUUCUAAACCAUUUCUGUUAAUUAGAGCUAAGUUAUGAGUCACAAUCAAUAAAUUUAACUCUUAAAAGUUCAUGAAACAGUCUGAAAAGCUGUUGGUCUAAAGAACUAAAGAAUAAGGAUUUAUUCUGUCAGAUAAGAUAACUUGGCUUCUGAAGCACAUAGAAAAACGGGAAACAUCUCAUUUUAACACAAAUUUCAUGAUUAGACAGAUUAGUACAUUGCUGAAUGUAUAAGAUGUCAGGAUCAGUCAUUUGUAUUCUUUCACCAAAGGAAUGUAGUCUUUAUCAGUGUAUGGUCGAGCAGGGUUUUACGACCGAGGUCUGGAGGUCAGUGUCCCCCCUUUUCCUAGGGUCCGUAUGUUCACACACUUUAAGACGCUAAAUCUCAAAUGGGAGAUCUGGGUUGAGGUUAAUGUUUAUUUAGAUGGUCAGCAAAUGGAGUCAGUUUGAAAGGUAAUAAAAACUCUGUCUCUGUUCUCCGAAUUGACCAAUCGUGAAGAGUCGGAGGUUUAGUCAACCUCCGGUUGGGUCACUUAUUUAACCUGAAAGGGCAAACACGUCUGGAAAGAUUUAUAUCCUGUUUCCUGGGACCAGAUAAGGAAACUUUCCUGUAAGGAAUGUGUGGGUUUCACAUCCAGGGUUGUCUUGAUUGCUACAGUCCCCCCUUCGUCACGGUGGUCCUGUCCAUGGAGCAUCGGGACGACGAGUAGACAACCAUGAAGCAGCAGCAGGUGUAUGCAAAUAGGACUGAUGCGUCUCAGCAUCACUAUGUGAAUCACUAGUACUGCUUUGAGAUAAAAUUAAGCAUGUAUUAAGCUAUCAAAUAAAAUCGUCUAGUUGUUAGACUUUCUCAGUUAACUAUUGGUAGACUAAUGUGAAAGAAAAUCUCCUAAUUUUUAGUAUUAAUGAGAUUUAGAAAAGCACUCUUUAGUCUGAAUGCUAACCGGAUCUAAAGCUAUAGCUGUUUUUCAUGCUUGCUGGAGAAGUCUGAAAGUUCAAUUUCAGUUUCAAAAAUGGUUAAGACUUAGGUGGAAAAGAAAUGUCUGCUAUAGACAUAUUAACCAUCUGUGUAUGAGCAUAGUCAACCUGAAUCACAAACAUCAAAAGUUUACUGCACAGAGUUUCUCUUAAACUUUGUCUGUUAAACUUGGGGAUGAUGCUCUUAUCGGUUUGACUAAUUAUCUGCUGUUGAGUCUGAAAUUUGUCAAUCUGAGUCUUAAUGACAGAAAUUUCAGCUUUUAAUCUGUUCAUGGGAUAUUUGACAGCUGACAAGCUGACCAUAUUGACAGAGGAGAGACAAAUGCUAACAAAGAAAGCAGCAACUGGGAUUGCAGUCAUCAAUGUAUCACCACAGCAUUUGGAUAUCUUAUUGGAGUCAUUCAGCUUUGGCUGGGUGACUUCUGCUUUCGCAGGACUCACACCUUCAUGACUCCGCAGUGUUAAUCUCAGUGGUUAGCUGAGUUGUCAUGUUUAUUCACCUUCGAAGUGGAUGAAACCGAUUGAGGUGGAUAAUAAGAUCGUCGUUUCUGAGAGUGUGAUUUACUCUGAUUCUGCCAGUCAUUCACCCCCCUUUGGCGGUGUUGAUGGUUUUUCCUUUGUCUGGGAUAAAACCCACCGUGACGGGAGUCUGAAUAACAACAGUUGGUCUCAAAGUUUACCUGGCGUUGGUCUGUGUCAGAACUGGGCCUUGGUGUGUAACUUUGACCUUUGUGAGUUUGUUGAGGUCGAAAAGGUUUUGGGGGCCUGGUUAACCACUCAUUUGGAGGCUUAUCGGAGCCUGAAAAUACACAGUCUGAAGCUUCAUUCAGCUCCAUGGGCAGUGAUUUUGUCCCCAUAGCCAAGAGAGUAACGGGCUCUGCUUUCUUAGCCAAAGUUUGUCGUUGUUUGGCAAAACCUUUUACAGCAAAUUCACGAAGCUGUCGGCUAGUCAAAGUGUUUGGACAAGCUAAGACGCCAAGGUGAUGACUGGUGGUAGGGUGGAGGUUCUGGACGAACAGCGUUUUGAAGUUCAAGUCCUCCUCCAUUUCUGGUUCAUUUCGGAAACCAAAGUAAGCUUCGCGUAAGCGGUUGUAAUAUUGUUGGGGAGAUUCUGAUCUCCCUUGUUUAAUAGACAGAGCAGCAGAGAGGCCUGUCUGGGUCAAAUAGUCAGAAAACUCUUCAAUUAAUGCUUGGCAGAGCAAGUCAUAAUUAUUUCUGACAUGAAAAGGCUGUCUUUCAAGGAAACUGCUAACCUCUCGACUUGACGUCGCCUUAAUAAGGUAGAUUUUGUCAUCAAUGGUUGCACCUAGAAAUUUCCUCAGGUAAAAGUCAAUGUCUUUCAAGUAGGUGCAGGUGUCAAUAGCAGCUUGGUGCUCAGGUUCAAAGCGUGCUAUGUUGCGAGCAAUUUUGUCAAGAUCCCUGUCUGAGGGAGAUGGUAAGAAGCCAUCAUGAGGAGGAGAGUAGGACUCUUGGUUUAAGGAUGACCUCUCAGGGUCAAGCAGGGUCCUGUCAUGAUGCUGAGAGAGAUACUUAAGAGUUGGUUUGGAAGGAAGUGAUGGCGCUCUCUCAGGAGGCUGAUCACCUGUCAUUUCUUCAAGAAACGUUUGCUCCAUGCGUUCUCUUUGGGCUCGACCUGACUGGAGGGAGCAUUGUAACUCUCUUUGGGCAUCUUCAAGUUCUUUGUCUGUCUUUUCUUGCCGUUCUUGACAAAGAAUUAACUGUCUUUGAGCUAUCUGGAGCUGGUGCUGUAAGGUAGAAGUUUGCUUCUCCUUAACUUCAAGAGCUUCAGCACGCACUUUGACCAGUGCUUUCAAAGUUUUUACAUCUUCUGUUGCUUGCUCUAGUAGGGAUUCUGACUGUAUCAGAUCCUCUGUGGUCUUAGCAAGCUGCUUAUUCGUGUCAUCAAGUUCUUUCUCCUUUUUGUAAAGGGUUUCAUUAAGUCUUUCAAUCUUGUCUUUAAGAUCAAGAUUUUCUUCAUGACUUAUCAGUGAGGGAAGCUUUGACGCUUCACAUCUGACACUGUGUUUUCCUAAAACACUUAGAGACUUCUUAGUCUCUUCUAGCGUCUUUUUCAGAGCGCUGUUUUCGUCUUUUUGCGCCUUUAUCUUUGCUAAAGCGCAUUCCAGCAAGUAGUCUUUAUACUCAAGCUGAGAAGACAUCAUGACAGACAUGCAUCUAGUGAGCUCUUUGUCUCGAAGUGUCGUGGUUAAGGCUGUUUCCAGUAAGUCAGCCAUUUCAUCCUCCGGAUUGGAGGGUUUGGCCUUUUGAAUCUUAGUCAUGUACUGAGGUAUCAGCUGACUAGUCAAGUUUGCCAACACUGUGGGUAUGUCCCUCAGGGGGUCUCCCUGGCUGGACUCUUUUGUGUUAGGCAUGUUUGGUUUUGGUAAAGAGGUGCAGCUGGUUGGUUGAUGAGUUUGAGUUGACUUAAAAUAAAAGGAAGAAGCAAAAUAUCAAAUUAAGUGGGUUAAUCGACUUAAUUUAUCAGUGCUUGAUAAAGAGGAAGAGCCUAUCUGAGUAGAUAUCUAAUGGAGAGAAAAAUAACAUAAAGUUAAAUUCAUUUCAAUGAAAAUUGAAAACAAAAGGUGAAAUAAUGUUAAAUUAAAUUUAACAUCAGAUACAGAACCAUUGAAUAAAGGGUUCAGUUUGUCUCCGUGUUGCAGAGAUCAGCAAAGCUUAAAUAAACUGCCUGGUGCAGUUGGAUGAAUUGGCAAAAUCGAUGAAAUUGUCAAUUUAAGGAAUUAACUCUGAAGUUAAUUCACAAAUUGCAAUAAAUCCAAAGGUUCGAAUACCAAAUCUAUCUGGAAUGUUAAAAGAAAUUUGAAAUAUUAAUUAAUUUGUUCGUUAAUUAAUUAAUCUUAUGAGUCGGGUUAAUACAUUCAUGUAUUAUAGGGAACAGUAAAACUGCUCACUGGUGUGAUAAGUAACAACAGAUCAGGUGAUUGAUUCAAGGAGUUACUUCAUCAAUACAUCAAAAUCAAUGAUCAGUGAUUUAGAAUAAGCACAUCAAACUUCAUCAACCAAGUCAAUCACUUGAGUUAUGUCUGUAGAGUGUUACACACUGACUACAGGGAGGCAGUACAGCUGGCUGAUACUGCAGGCAGAUAAUAGCAGUGUUAGCUCAAUACCAAAAACAACCAUGUGGGGCAGUAUGGAGUUGGGGUAACUGCACAAGCUCAACACAAGUGGAGAAGAAGAAGAGAAGAGGAAACAGUCAUCCAACUAGCCUCUUGUGGCUGUGAGGAGUUGGGAAGUCUGAAGGAAGGGGCCUUUAGACUCUGCCUCCUUGAAGGGCCUUAUCUGCUUAAGGCCAAAAGGUCAGUCUCUCCACUGACAACAAAGGGUUAACAUUUCACAGCAGGCUGCGUCUGCACCCUCAAACAUAGAGCUUUACACCAUCUGCUCAGGCAGAUUGGUUCAAUAAAAUCAUUUACAGGAACAAGAAUCAAAGUGACAAAUUCUUAAACAGCAGAUUCAACUGCAGACUUUAAAAUCACAAAUGCGGCGAUUUGUGAUCACAAAUUUUGUCUGAAUUCAUUCAAACAACAACCUCCCACUGUUACAGUGGUUUCCUGUGACAGGUAGUUAAUCUGUCAGGGGAAAGGAGGAAAUCUGAAUCCCAUAUAGUUACUAGAACUUCGUAGCAGACUAUAGAGACAAGAAUCAAAGUGACAAAUCCCUCAACAGCAGAUUCAACUGCAGACUUUAAAAUCACAAAUGCGGCGAUUUGUGAACACAAAUUUUGUCUGAAUUCAAUCAAACAACAACCUCCCACUGUUACAGUGGUUUCCUGUGACAGGUAGCUAAUCUGUCAGGGGAAAGGAGGAAAUCUGAAUCCCAUAUAGUUACUAGAACCUCGUAGCAGACUACAGAGACUUCAGGGGCUUGAAACCACAGCUCGGAGCAUCGCGAACACUGGGUUCAGCCAAAGGCCUUAAAUACAAGCGUACGGCGACGCCACAAUCGUGCACAUAAAUAUUGGACAGUCUAGACAGAGCAGAGGAGUCAGUCUCACUGCUACUCAGAACAACAUUUCACGCUGUCCAGCUCAAACACAGACUACAGGCAUGUAGUACAAGAGUGUGUGAAACACAGAGCAUAAAGGUUUUAUGCAUAGAUCAUGAAAACAUCAGAACUUAGUCAAGCAACUUCAGCAAGCAUAGCAUUGAUUGUGAUUAAGUCUAAAAUAGCCUGGAAAUAAGUUUCUCGCAUCAAUUUGGAAGGCUAAGUUUUAGGUUGUCUGUUAGUAUCCAGAAGUUUUGUUUGAAACGCCUCACGCAGGGGCACCAAAAUAUAUGUAGUGAUUUGAAAUGAGCCUCAUACGGUCGCACCAAAAUAUAUGUAGCGAUUUGAAAUGAGCCUCACAAGGCCGCACCAAAAUAAUACUUGGCGAUUGGAAUUUAUAAUAAAUGUCUGAAGAUUAAUAAUCUCAAAUUAUGACAUUUAUGCACUCGUUGAAAGGGGCACCACCCACCCUUAAUGGUGGGAAAAUAAAGAAAACAAAAGUUUAAUUCAGAAAUCAAACAUCAAGUCAGUUUUAAUUAAUCAGUCUUAAUUAAUCAGUCUUAAUUAAUCAGUCUCAUAUCUUAAGUUGAAAUUCUAAUUUCAGGGACUCCACUUCUGGAAGAACACUAACAGACAGGAACUUAGAAAAAUAAUGAUCUGUUUAUUACAGGAUAAAUGAUGGUACAACACACAUGCAAUAAAUGAUGAUAAGAUAAUGAAGAUAAAUAAUAAUAGGUGAAUAAAUCAAGAUUCUGAGUCAGGCUAGGAGCACUAAAGUUAAUGAUAAUGAGUGAAUAUGCGCUAACAUAUUAACCUACACUAACUUUAGUGUCGAGAUAAACUCGGAUGUGGAUUUGGAGGAAUCUAAGAUUACCAGAAUAAGAGGAUAUCUGAGUUGAACGCAGGAGACAGCACCAGCCCUCUUUAGAGCUCUGGAGGUUUGCAUACUUAAGUGAGACUGGUCCUUGGAGAAGAUGGAGCAGGUUCCGAAGGUCCGGGCUACUGGCGGUUCGAGCGGUUCAGCUCAGAAGACGACUGAAGUCAGCCGAAGGAUGAGCCCGGAGUUGCAGCACUCAGGCCCGAAGCAAAAACCAGCGCCUGUGGAUCCUGUGGAUGCUCGUUUGGGUACUUCUUUAGUCUCACUCAAAAACUCUGGCACAGAGGAUGACCUGGGCCUGUUGGAUUGCGUUCGGAGGUGACUUUGAAAUCACGCAGAAAACUCAGAAAAACGAGGCUCGAAGAGCAGAGAAAACUUUCAAAAAUGGCUUCGCGAAAUUAAAGAAAAUCAAUCAAAGGCUUAAUCUUGAAUUGCUAUGUGCACAAAAAGUUGAAGUUUCAAAACUUGAACUAAGACGAUGUUAAAGAAAAAUCAACGUGAAUCAACACGUGGCGUAAAACUUAGAAGACUAAGAAAAAGUUCUAAGAGAGAACAAAGAAAAGGAGGACCACAGAAGGGUGUGGACAGAAGAGAAGGGCCCAAGAGUAAGGGGCCUAAGAGCCGGGGACAAGAGAGUCAGCAGAAGAGCAGAAGCAUAAGAGAGAUAAAAGCAUAAGAGAGAGUAAGAGAGUGAGCAACCCCACUCCACUGGUUUUAUCUUCUCACACUGGGAGUGUCUGAGGAGAAAGAGGAGGGGUCAUCGGGUCUCUGAUUAUUUGAUCUAACUUAUUCUUUUGGCUGGUAAAAGAGUCAGAUCUGAUACUCACUCACUAUGAUUAAUAUCAUUGAAUGCUUGGUUUCAUGAUAAAUAAUUUGAUACUAAACACAUAUGAAUGAAGUGUAGGAUCACAUCAAACAUUCUCAUUAUGUUUUAAGUAUCACAUUGAACAUGCUAAAUUACUCUGAAAUGAAACAGAUAGUAACACAUAGAAACUGUGAACAACAAAAGAGUAAACACAUGUGAAUGAACGUCAUCAUGAUUAAUAAUGGAUUCUAAAUACUCACAUUCAGAUUAUUCAGUGACAUUAUAACCACCUAAUGGUUAAGAUACUAAAUAAACGAUUAAAAUAUAGAACAAACAUUUCUAAACCAUUUCUGUUAAUUAGAGCUAAGUUAUGAGUCACAAUCAAUAAAUUUAACUCUUAAAAGUUCAUGAAACAGUCUGAAAAGCUGUUGGUCUAAAGAACUAAAGAAUAAGGAUUUAUUCUGUCAGAUAAGAUAACUUGGCUUCUGAAGCACAUAGAAAAACGGGAAACAUCUCAUUUUAACACAAAUUUCAUGAUUAGACAGAUUAGUACAUUGCUGAAUGUAUAAGAUGUCAGGAUCAGUCAUUUGUAUUCUUUCACCAAAGGAAUGUAGUCUUUAUCAGUGUAUGGUCGAGCAGGGUUUUACGACCGAGGUCUGGAGGUCAGUGUCCCCCCCUUUUCCUAGGGUCCGUAUGUUCACACACUUUAAGACGCUAAAUCUCAAAUGGGAGAUCUGGGUUGAGGUUAAUGUUUAUUUAGAUGGUCAGCAAAUGGAGUCAGUUUGAAAGGUAAUAAAAACUCUGUCUCUGUUCUCCGAAUUGACCAAUCGUGAAGAGUCGGAGGUUUAGUCAACCUCCGGUUGGGUCACUUAUUUAACCUGAAAGGGCAAACACGUCUGGAAAGAUUUAUAUCCUGUUUCCUGGGACCAGAUAAGGAAACUUUCCUGUAAGGAAUGUGUGGGUUUCACAUCCAGGGUUGUCUUGAUUGCUACACGUUAAACCUUACCAUAGCCCCAUAACCUAAUACCCGGGUAUUACUUUUAGGAAGCCUGAACACUCCAAAUGUUUUUUUUUUCAUUUUUCAUUUUUUUUGGUCUAACUAACUCCAAAAGGUUGGAAAA
rnacentral:lncRNA from 1 species